rnacentral:rRNA from 1 species
UACGUAGGUGGCAAGCGUUGUCCGGAUUUACUGGGCGUAAAGAGCGCGCAGGCGGUUGUGCAAGUCGCGUGUGAAAGCCCCCGGCUCAACUGGGGAGGGUCACGCGAUACUGUUCGACUUGAAGGCAGGAGAGGGAAGUGGAAUUCCCGGUGUAGUGGUGAAAUGCGUAGAUAUCGGGAGGAACACCAGUGGCGAAGGCGGCUUUCUGGCCUGUUCUUGACGCUGAGGCGCGAAAGCUAGGGGAGCGAACGGG